CUUUUUAUCUGAAUAUUAUAUUUUUUUCUUUCCCUGCAUUGCCUCUGUUUCUUCAAAUUCCUCCUAUUUGCCCCAAUUUGUGUAUCUUAGUCACUCUUAUGUUGGAGGGUUCCCUCAAAUAUUCGAUGGUUCUUGAUGGUGGUUCACAGUUCCAGAUGAAGCACUGAAAUCUAUUUGAAAGUAUUGAGCAUAGGGUGGGGUUUGAAGACAGGUGGGCUACACCAAAGCCAUUGCACCAGCAAACAAAUACCUGAUUUUGUAGCAUUUUUCUCUUGAGCUGGACUGUAUCUCAAUGAAGUCAUUCCUCCCCAUUCCUGCCAGGGGUGGGAGUGGGAACUGGGGAGGUAUAAUCCUUUUUCAGCAUCCUUCCAGCCAAGUUGGUUAAGGGAGAUGGGGUCGGAGGGGACAGGGACAGAUGGAGGCAUUCUGUCCCAUAUUCAGACUUCCACUGAAUCCACUCUUUGCUGUUACUUACCUGUCUUAUUUUUGUCCUUGGGGGAGGCUAGAUCCUAAUCCCCCAGCCUUCCUUAUUUAGCCUCUCAGUCUUCUUCCUCCUCACACAAACCGUCAACCCAUCUUCCGGUUUCCAGCCCCACCCAAACCACACCUCCACCCUCAAACACCACUCCCUUUCAGAGACUCGUGGUCCUGGAAUCCCUGAGCCUGUCUGAGGCUUCAAGAAGCCAAACAGCUCUUUCUUGCUGCUUCCAGUCUUCGCAGGUCUAGGUUUUUCUGGAUUGAUAGGUACUGUCAUAGGUAGAGGGGACAUAGAAAUGAGCAAGAUGUUCAGAAUCCAGUGAGGAAGACCAACAGGUAAGUAAAUAUAAUGUCUAAGUGUAAGCAUACAUGCUCAAUAAACACUAAUGCAGUGUCUAUCAUAUGUCAGGCAGUAUAUUAGGCACUUUCUUUGUUUUGUUUUGUUUUGUUUGGCUGUGCCAAGGCAUACAGAAGUUCCUGGACCAGGAAUCAAACCAUGCCACAGGAGUGAUAACACUGGGUCCUUAACCCACCUUGCCGCCAGGGAACUCCUGGGUGUCACUCCUUUCAUCUCCUCCCUCACAACUCCAAAUCUAGGGAGAGCAUCUCAUGUUGGAUCCAAGGAAAGAAAGAGGUAACUAGCAGUGUUUUUGAGCACUGUCUUCCACACGAGAGGACCAGGAGAAACUGAGUCUUGAAGACCUUGAUCCAUCACUGUCCCAAAAGACAGAAAACUCUUAGAUGGGCCUCUUUUUUUCACUUUUUCAUUUUUACCCCUUUCCUUUUUCUGGUCAAGAACAAAAAUGUACCCUAGCGUUGAAACCCCAGCUAAGGAAUGGUCAAGCGGACAUGGGCUGGGGUUGAGGAGGGGUUAGAUCUAGAGAGAUUUUUUUGGAAAAACAGAUCCACCCUUCCUCAGAGGAAGAUCAAGGGGGUCAUGUGGGUGAGCUUGGGAGAGAGAAACACACACACACAUAUACACCACACACCACAUAGACACACACACACACACACUCACACAGACACACAUAGACACACACACACACAUAUGCACAUGUGUGCAGCCCUCUCUGAACUUAAUCAGUUUUUCAGUUUGCGAAACCAUCUCUGAAACAGGAACUUGCCUUGGGUCUCCUGAACCAAGGGACACAAGUCAAGUUUUCCUCCUCACUGCCCACUUGUCCUUGGCAGCAGUUGGCCAGGCUGGUGGCUUCCUCUGGCUGCUGAGGAGGCAGCUCCCUGUGCCGAGAGCGUUUUUCCUCCCAAACGGGGCAGGUAAGUGGAGGCUGGGGUUUCUGGGGGCUCCUCUCACUUUGGUUGUCUAAGGAUGGAGUUCCCGCUGUAGCACAGUGGGUUAAGGAUCUGGCAUUGUCUCCAUGGCAGUGUGGGUUUGACCCCUGGCCCGGGAAUUUCCAUAUACUGCGGGUGCAGCCAAAAAAAAAAAAACCCCAAAAACAAAAAACAAAAAAUUUGAGGUGGAGAAGGUUUCGGGGGGAAUGGAGGCGCCCAAACUCCCCAUGUAUUAAGAGCGGGAGGUGGGGGUGGGGUGCAGACAGAGAUUCUGCCAAAUUACAGGCGUAACCAGCUAGAUCCGGAACAAUUCCCAAGGGAGGUCCUCCCACACCCACAGGAAGGCCAAAAAAAGGUUUGAAAUUCAAAUUAUUUUUGGUGCUUGGGACAUGGGAGGGGAGGGAAGGAGGGCAGUGAUAGUAAGUAGAACGGAAGGAGAAAGAAAAAAUAAAAGGCUUGGUUGGUAUCUUUCCUAAGAAGCAGCCUAGGACUGCAGCAAAGAUGAUGUGAUGUAGUUGGACUUGAAUAUUAUUUCCCCCUAUUAUGUAUCUGCUGGGCUAGCCUGUAAAGGAGAAAGUUCACAAAUUUUAUAUGAAUUUGGUGUCUGCCCUGAAAGCAGUGGCUUCUGCCCCCUCUCCUUUUUUUAGCCGCUAUUUUCGAGGUGACAGGGCAGAGACGUUUUGCCCACACCCUCCCUACACGCUGCCUUUGCUUCUCUCAAACGAAUUCCUGGUCCUGGUUUCCUCCAGAAGCUUUCGUCCUUUCAUGAAUAUUGCUGUAGUUUAUUGUUGUUUCAGCUUACAUUUUGGCCUUGGGUAAGAAGGAUGGGAAAAAUGUGGAGGGACAGAUAAAAACAGCCACCAUGAUGAGAGGUGAGAAAAUAAUAAUUACAUUUGAGAAUUAGGAGGAGGGAGAGAUAAAACUCUUGGACCAGGACUUUAGUCUUUUCAGGUCUCGGUUUUCCUUAUCUCUUAACAGGAAUAAUUAGGAUUAGAAAGGGCUGCCAGAUAGACAGAAGCUACUAAACACUCCAGUUAAAUGUGAAUUUCAGACAAACAGCGAAGCCAAAAUCUGACAUUACGAUUUUGUGUAUUUGAGAUCGUUCUUUUGUUUGUUUGUUUGUUUUCCUUUCUUGGCAGUACCCUCAACAUGCAAAAGUUCCCAGGCCAGGGAUUGCACCUGAGCCACAGCAUCGAUGCCAGAUCUUUAACCCACUGAUCCACCAGGGAACUCCUGGGGCAGUUCUUAAGUCAUCUCACUUGGUAAUAUUUAAAGAAUGGGGACCCGCAGGGCCCGUAGUUUUAAGAGAAUCAGUUUCUCCAUCUGCCUGAGAUGGAAAGAGCCAGUUUCAUGCACCAGUCUUCUUUGCUCCUACCUGCCCUUUCAUACCAGCCCUCUCGCUCUUCUAAAAAAGGAAAGAAAGCCAUCGCCCUUUGUUGUCAAAACCUUCAGGGCCAAGACAAGGGACUAGAAGAAAUAGCUGUGUUUGUGUUGAGAAAGCAAAAGGCUUUCAGAACUGGGAUAGAAAUCACUUCCCAAGGUGGGUAGUUUCCAAUUUAUGACUUGUCAUAAAACCAGGAGGAAAAGCCCUGGCCUGACCACUGAUGGAUCAUUACAAUAAUUGUUUGAAAAAUAGGCUUUAUUUUUUAGAGCCGUUUUAGACUCGCAGCAGAAUGGAACAGAAAGUACAGAGUGUUCCCGUAUGCUCCCUGCCCCCCCACCCCAGCACACACACACACACACACACACACACACACACACACACACACGCAGAGGCAUGCGUGAGCAUGUGCACAGCCUCCCCCACAGAGUCAUUUUUGACAUGAUGUCUGACCGGCAACUCAAAGGAGUUCAAACAAGCGAAGAGCCCUGCCAAAUUCGGCGCUGCUGAAAAACAGAUUUCAAGUUGCCUGGCAAAGGUGGGCUGGCGAGAUAUCUUCGCAUUGGGUUUGUGUUCACAGGCAAGUGAGUCAUUCCAGGCCCCCUUCUGAAGCCAUGAAUCCAGAACUCUGUUCCAAUUUUCCUUCUCUCUCAUCAGCCCUGAACAUUUUCAUCACCAGACUCCUUAGAACCCCAACUCCUUGUGAAUGGGAACAAGGCUUCACAGGGCCUACAGUCAAGAAGAUAAGAGAUAGGGAUACCAUUGCUGCUAAGCCUGCUCCUUCUUGCACUAGUAAUACUGAUUGCUGGAUAUCUGAACUAUUUACAUAUCUAUGAAAAUGUACAACAAUACAUAUUUUUAAAAAUCCAUCCUCAUCCAUUGCAUGAAGAGAAUCAUUUCUGAUAGCAUUUUACUGUUUUUUGUUUGGUGAUCAAUAAAAUAUAUACGUGGAAUUCCCUUUGAGGCUCAGCAAGUUAAGAAUACGACAUAGUGUCAGUAAGGAUCACAGCAUUGCUGUGAGUUGCAGUGUAGGUCGUAGAUGCGGCUUGGAUCUGGUGUUGCUAUGGCUGUGGCAUAGGCCUCAACUGAAGCUCUGAUUGGAACCCUGGCCUGGGAACUUCCAUAUGCUGCAGGAGCAGCAGUGAAAUGGAAAAAAAUAAUUGUAAUGAUAACCUAGUCUCAAAGAGGGCUUUUAACACUUGAAGGCUGAAGGUCAUAGGAUAUAUUUUUAUUUUUUAAAUUGUAAAAUCAACAUAUAGAGGCAUUUCUGUUUCAGAAAAUACGAUAGGUAAUCAAUAAGAGAUAUUCAAAUACAUGAUGUUCAAACACAUGAUGUUCAAAUAAUAAAAGACGUCAUAAAAAUAUGACGUUUGGAGACACUUCUUUAGAGGAAGUGGAAUGAAAAUAUAGCCCAAGGAAAAAAGGGAAGGAUUUAACAUUUCUGACUAUUAAAGAACUGAAAAAGGAACGAUAUUGUCCAGUUCCCAUGGUACUUAGAUUCUAUUGGAUGCAUUUUAAAAGAGUGAUAGGAGAGGUUUAUUUAAAAUAUCCAUGUUAAAUAUCAGUAGAAUACAUCCUUUUCAACCACUCAAAACUCUGAUUACAAGUUACAGAUGUCAACUUAAAAAUGUGGUGGAAAUUCAUACCUCUCAGCAUUUUUAGGGGGUGUAGGUGAAGAAAAAUUUGAAGACCACUGCUUUCUAGCAUCAUCUCAUUCCUGCUCAUAAUAUAGUACUUAUAUUUCUAAAUCCUUUACAAAUUUGAACAAUAAAAAAUGUAGGCAUUUCAAGAGUUCCCAGGUAGCCUAUCGGGUUAAGGAUCCUGCCUUGUCACUGCAUCAACUCAGAUCACUGCUAUGGUGCAGGUUUGAUCCCUGGCCUGGGAACUUCCAUAUGCUGCAGGAGCAGCCAAAAGAAAAAAAAAAAAAGUGGGCAUUUUUACCUACAAUUUCAGAGGAUUCUGAGUGCAAAGUUCUUUGUACCUCAUCAUGCUGCUCAUCUACUCUGAAGUGGGUGGUAGUGACAGGGUCAUGAUACAAGGGUUUAAAUUGGAGAAACCAGAAAUAAAUCAGCCCCGAGACCUCACGGCUGAACUAUUUCAAGAAUAUGCAGUUACAUUUCAGCGGCCACAGUUUGACUCAUGGUGUGCUCAGUAACAUAUAAUUACAAGCUCUGCUCUAAGGGACUUCAACUUCUACCGUAACGCUUGCCUGUCACCUUCUGAGUAUAGGGGUGUCACCGCAGGGCUGAGUGGUAACUAAUUGAGAUGACCAACCCAACCCUGAUGCGCAGCCCGUCAUAGGAGAGUAACUUUCUCGCACACCAGCCGAGCUUCUGGUGGAGGUUUUUUUCGUUUUUUGUUUUUCGGUGGGUUUUUUUUUUUUUUUUUCUUUGGCCUGCUCGCAACAUGUGGAAGUUCUGGGGCCAGGGAUGGAACCCAUGCCACAGCAGUGACAAUGCUGGGUCCACAACCUUCUAGGCCACCAAGAAACUCCAUGGUGGAGUUUCCAUUUAAGAGAGGCAGACAAAUAAAUGAAAGCGGACUUCCCCUGUGGCCCACAGCAAAACUACGCUGCGUUGUCUCUGAAGUAGCUCUGGUUCGAUCCCUAAGGGAGAUAGACCAAGUUCAGGGUUGGUAGAUGCAAAUGAUUACAUUUAGAAAAAGGAUAAGCACUGAGGUCCUACUCGACAGUACAGGGACCUAUAUCCAAUCUCUUGGGACAGAACGUGAUGGAAGAUAGUAUUAAAAAACUAACGUUUUAUAUAUAUGUAUAGCUGGGUCACUCUGCUGUACAGCAGAAAUUGAUACAACACUGUAAAUCAACUGUACUCUAAUUUAAAAAAUUCUAAAACAUAAAAUAAACGAGUGGAAGCAUUUCCUGUGUCCAAAUGGCAGAGGAAGUCCAUGGGGGUGGUGGGGUGGGCGGUGGUUGGGAGCUCCAUUACAGGGGUUAUAGCAGUGGAGGCAGGCAAGGCACGAAGCACUGUUCUUCACACCAGAAGGGAAAAGUAAAUGUUAGUUCUUUUCUGUGAUGAGGACUUCGGAGAUUUAGUCUCUUAUCAAAUUUCAAAUACAAUAUUGUUAACUAUAGUUAACCAUGCGGUACACUCCAUCCCCUGAACUUAUUUAUCUUGUAACUGGGAGUUUGCAACUUUUGGCCCUGCCCACCCCACUGGCUUCGGUCAAUCAUUGAUCUGUUCUGUUUCUAUAAAUUAAAGGUAGGUUUGUUUGUUUGUUUAUUUAUUUAUUUAUGUCAGGGCUGUACCUGCAGCAUAUGGAAGUUCCCAGACUUGGGGGCAAAUCGGAACUGAAGCCACUGGCCUAUGCCACAGCCAUAGCAAAUCUGGAUCCGAGCUGCAUCUGCAACCUAUGCCACAGCUUGCAGUAAUGCACACUGGAUCCUUCACCCACUGUGCCAGACCAGGAAUCAAACCUGCAUCCUCAUGGCUACUAGUCAGGUUCUUAACCUGCCGAGCCACAACAGGAAAGUUUUUUAGAUUCCACAUGUAAUUGAGAUCAUACAACAUUUAUUUUUCUCUGUCUUUCUUCAUUUAGCCUAAUGCCCUCAAGGUUCAUCCACGUUGCUGCAAAUGGCCGGAUUUCCUUCUUUUUCAUGGCCAAAUAAUAUUUCAUUAUAAUAUAUAUUUCAUAUAUUUCAAUAUAUGCCACAUUUCUUUACCCAUUCAUUUGUCAAAAGACACUUUGUUUCUAUGCUUCUAUUAUUAUUUAUGCUGCAGUGGACAUGGGGUGCAGAUAUCCUUUUAGACAGCGAUUUUGUUUCCUUCUGAUAUGUACACAGAAGUGGAACUGCUAGAUCACAUGGUGGUUCUAUUUUUAAUUUUUUGAGGAACCUCCAUACUGUUUUCCAUAGUGGCUGCCUCAAUUUGCAUUCCAACAGUGCCUGAAUGUUCCCUUUUCUCCACUUCCUGGCCAACACUUGUCAUUUGCUAUCUCUUUGAGAACAGCCAUUCUGACAGGUGUGAGGUGAUAUUUCACUGUGGUUGUAGUUUGCAUGCCCCUGAUGAUUAUCCAUGUUGAGCUAAUCAUGGUACCUGUUGGCUAUUUGUAUACCUCCUUAGGAAAGAGGUCUGUUUAGCUCUUCUGCCCAUUUAAAAAAUCAAAUCGUUUGUUUCUUCUUGUUGAGCUAUAUGAAUUCUUUAUAUAUUUUAGAUUUUAAUCCCUUAUCAGAUGUAUGAUUUGCAAGUAUUUUAUACCAUUACAUAAGCUGCCUUUUCAUUUUGUUGAUGGUUUCCUUUGCUGUGCAGAAGCUUUUUAGUUUGGUGUCACAACACUUUACUUUUACUUUUGUGGUCUUUUGCCGCUUCUGGUGUCAAAUUGAAAAAAAAAAAAAUCAUUGCCAAGACCAAUGUCAAGGAGCCAUCACACUGUGUUUUCUUCUAGUGUUUUAUGGUUUCAGGUCUUCAGUAUUUUAAUUUAGACAAUUUUCUUUUCAUGGACUUUUUAUUUGUAAGGUCUUUUCUAGGGACAUUAAAUAUUUCUUAAAAAUUUAUAAUUAUACAAAAGAAACAUAAUGCACACAACAUAAUAUUUUAAAAAUAGGAAGUUACUAUUGUGGCUUAGUGGUUAACAAACCUGACUAGUAUCCAUGAAGACGAGGGUUUGAUCCCUGGCCUUGCUCAGUGGGUUAAGGAUCUGGCAUUGCUGUGAGCCAUGGUGUAGGUCUCAGACAAGGCUCAGAUCUUGCGUUGCUGUUGCUGUGGCACAGGCUGGCAGCUGCAGCUCUGAUUCAACCCCUAGCCUAGGAACUUCCAUAUGCCGCCGGUGUGGCCCUAAAAAGCAAAAAAUUAAAAAAAAAAUAUAGGAGAGUAUGAAUGAAUCCUAUCUCCUCUUACUACCUGAGUGGUGAUCUCCUCGCCAGGGGCCACUCCUACCUGCAAAACCCUAGAAAGUUUCCACCUAAAAUAAAGGCACUGAUUGAAGUUCAACUGCUUUUUCCCACCCCAAAGUCAUCACUGAAAGUGAUGAAGAUUGUCUUGGGCACAUAUAACCUCUGGGAAUGCUUGUUAAUUUUUCUUUCCCUCCUUUGUUGUUGUCAGCUAAUCCAUUUAUAGACAGAGGAAUGAACUGCAUAAAGUCAUUCUCCUCCCCACCCCCACCCCCCAGCCCUGUCCCCAGCCAUCUCCACCAGCUUCUCCAUUCUCUUGGUUUCUCAUCUGCCGAGGACUAAGAAACCACAUACCUGGACUUUUUGAAAUUAGAUCUUUUGUCAGAAUCAAUCAGCCCACCUCAGAAAGGUGUCUCCAUGAUGACACAGGGACUGUUGGCUACUCAGAGCCCUUCUCCUUCUUACUUUCUGGUUUGGAGUUCUAUUCCAGAGACUGAGGUUACCAGAAGGUGACCUCUAGGUCAGGACCGUGUUCCUGUGUGUUUUUCCAGCAAGCCGGGACUGUGACAUCUUCUGACAUCAGAGGCUAGAGCGUUUGGCUACUUAUCCUUAAAACAUCCAUAACAUCAUUAAGUAUUAGGUGUGGGGAUAAAUUUAGCUUGUUAUUGUUUAAUGACUCAGUGAAAGAGUUAAGCCAGACGGGGCUUAAUCCUCCAGCUUCGUGUUACACUUAAUUUGAACAAAGUUUGACAGACAUGUGGAGUCAUCACACAAAUUAUGAUGAAAUUUGAAAGAAGAUUCCUUAGCCCAUGACUGGUCUCCAGUGACUCAUAAUGAGUUUCACUAGGUGUUGGUGUUCAAACUGCUAAUCAGGUUUUGUGAAUCUUUUCCAGUGGCAGGAGUUUUAAUACGAAUGGAUACCAAAUUGGCUAAAAUGUCUUGAAAAAUGUAUCCACAGACUGACAACUAUUUUUAAGUUGAAAAUGAAGUUAGUUCUAAGUUCUAUGUUUUUUUAAAUCACAAAGUGGCUCUGAGAUCUCUGAGAUACUUUAAACUUAAAAACUAGUAAGGGCCUACUGUGUAGCACAGUGUAGUCUGCUCAAUACUGUGUAAUAACCUAUAUGAGAAAAUAAUCUGAAAAAGAAUGGAUGUAUGCAAAAAUAAAUAAAUAUAUAUAAACAUAUAUAUGGUUAGUGAGAACCUACUGUAUAGCACAGGAAAAUCUACUCAAUACUUUGUAAUAACCUGUAUGGGAAAGAAGAAUGGACAUAUUUAUAUGUAUGACUGAUUCACUUUACUGUACACCUGAAACUAAUAUGAUACUGUAAAUCAACUAUAUUCCAAUAAAAUUACAUUAAAAAACUAGUUACUUGCUUAUAAAACUAAUAUUUUCCCCUGUAAUCAUAAAACAAUACAUGCUUAUUGAAGGAUACUUGGAAAAUUAAGAAAUAGAAAAGAUUUUUUUUAAUUAAAUAUUUGGGAGAUCUGGUGUGGUCACUGCUGUGGCUCAGGUUGCUGUUGUGGCGUGGGUUCACUCCCUGGCCCAGCAACUUCCACCUGCCUUGGGUGCAGCCAAAAAUAAAAAAUAAAAAUAAAUAAAAUAUCUGUUUACUCUUAUUGUUACUUUUUGAGCUUCGUAUCGUGUGCAUGUAUUUCCUAUUAACAAAAUAAUGGAAGGAUGUAAAUCCAUCUGUCCAAAUAUCCAGUUUGAUUGUCUUUGUUUUGUAAGUAUCAGCUUGUGUUGAGAACCACCUAUGUUAAAAGGCGAUCUGCUUCACUGACCACCAGAGGCAUCUCUUGGAACAAACCAGAUAGGGUUUAUUCCAGUUAGCAGCUCUGACUCUGUUUACUCCCAGUAUUUUCUAAUCCCAGCCCCCAUGUAGGCUCAGCCCUGAGGAAAUGAAUUACGAAACUAGUCUAAGCAAAAACAAAGUUAAAUAUCAACUAUAAUAAAUUUUUUUUUUUACAGUUAAAU